AUGCCUCAGAGGUAGUGA
rnacentral:snRNA from 1 species